rfam:Pachysolen tannophilus NRRL Y-2460 unplaced genomic scaffold PACTA_scaffold_4, whole genome shotgun sequence.
GCUUUCGUGGCUCAGUUGGCUAGAGCGUUAGUCUCAUAAUCUGAAGGUCGCGAGUUCGAGCCUCGCCGAGAGCA